rnacentral:misc_RNA from 1 species
CUCAACCGCAAGGAGGGGGAUGCCUAAGGCAGGGCUAGUGACUGGGGUGAAGUCGUAACAAGGUAGCCGUACCGGAAGGUGUGGCUGGAUCACCUCCUUAAAGGGAGACCUAAUUCAGGUAGGCGACGAAAAAAAAGUAGUCCCAACCAAGAAUCAAUCCCAAAAGGUCGGAGCGAGGCAAGAUUGGCUUUCAAACUAGGUUCUGGGUUCACACAAGACCUGAAUCAGGAACAAGGGCUAUUAGCUCAGGUGGUUAGAGCGCACCCCUGAUAAGGGUGAGGUCCCUGGUUCGAGUCCAGGAUGGCCCACCUGCACAGGUGGAAAAAAGAAAAAAGCGAGGAAUCAGCACCUUAUCUUACUUAUAUAGUAAGAGAGAAUGCUGGCUCUGAGUUCAGAGUCCAGAGGAACCUUGAAAACUGCAUAGAGCUAGGUGAAAAAGCCAAAAAAGAAGACCGCAAGGUCAAGCUAAUAAGGGCUAACGGUG